GCGCUGCGAAAAAUAUUAGCGUAGGCUUUAGCCGUUUCAACAUAUUAUUAUUCCCUAUGCAACUUUGGCUCCCUUUUCUCUUCUUCGUAAUUCGUGCACCUGGGGAAAAUGAAAAACCUCUUCUUAAACCCCAAAAACACACACACACACACACACAGAAAAAAGAAAAAAAAGAAAAAAAAAUUUCACUGUUAAAACUGUCUCUGCCUUUAAUGGAACAAGACAAAUAAUAAAAGAGAAAGAACAAAUCUUUUUUCAAGAAGAGAGAGAGAGAGAGAGAGAGAAAGAGUGUGUGUGUGUGUGUUUUUAAGAUCUGUUUGAAUGCAUUUUCUCACUCUGUAUUUCUCCUUUUUUUUUUUUUUGUGAAAACACUUUGACCAGUUAGGGUUUGUUUGGACCAAAACUAAGUUCUUUGGCCAUGGCAUUGCUACUGCAUUUUUCAGGAAGAUGGUUUUCCCCCCAACAAAGGUCAGAUAGAGAAGUAGGAGUUGAGCUUGCUUCAGAGGUUUUGAGCUGGUGGUCAACUGUUAAACCGGGUUGAACUUCCUUCUGAUUUUCUGGAACAUGUGAACUAAUUAUAUUGUUAGUUUAGUAGGGAAUGAAGCCAUCGGUCCGCGAAGCAUAUCAAGCUUUGUAUCAUAUUGACAAUACCAGUAGUGAUGAUUCAUAGUGCAUGAAGUAUUUUUUGGCAUCCUAAAGCUACUCAGGUUUAUAUAAUUAUAUUAUCUGAGUUUUGAUC